GUCAGCCUGCCAGUGACCCUGUUCAACGGCCGCGGUAUCCUAACCGUGCGAAGGUAGCGUAAUCACUUGUUCUUUAAAUGUGGACUAGUAUGAACGGCAUCACGAAGGUUAUACUGUCUCCUUUUUCUAAUCAGUGAAACUAAUCUCCCCGUGAAGAAGCGAGGAUGAGAAUAUAAGACGAGAAGACCCUAUGGAGCUUUAAACAAAGUAGCACUCGCCACACAAAUAAGAAAUUCCAGAAUCAUCAUCUACUUCAGGCAAUCUGACUACACGUUUUUGGUUGGGGUGACCGCGGAGCAUAAUACAACCUCCAUGUUGAAAGAAAGCUUUCUAAACUAAGAAUUACACCUCUAAGUAUCAAAAAAUUGACAUCCAUUGACCCAAUAAAUUUGAACAACGAACCAAGUUACCCUAGGGAUAACAGCGCAAUCCACUUCAAGAGCCCCUAUCGACAAGUGGGUUUACGACCUCGAUGUUGGAUCAGGGUCUCCCAGUGGUGCAGCCGCUACUAAAGGUUCGUUUGUUCAACGAUUAAAACCCUACGUGAUCUGAGUUCAAAA
rnacentral:rRNA from 1 species